rnacentral:rRNA from 1 species
AGUGAACGCUGGCGGUAGGCCUAACACAUGCAAGUCACGGCAGCACAGUAAGAGCUUGCUCUUACGGGUGGCGAGUGGCGGACGGGUGAGGCAUACAUCGGAAUCUACUUUUUCGUGGGGGAUAACGUAGGGAAACUUACGCUAAUACCGCAUACGACCUACGGGUGAAAGCAGGGGAUCUUCGGACCUUGCGCGGUUGAAUGAGCCGAUGUCGGAUUAGCUAGUUGGCGGGGUAAAGGCCCACCAAGGCGACGAUCCGUAGCUGGUCUGAGAGGAUGAUCAGCCACACUGGAACUGAGACACGGUCCAGACUCCUACGGGAGGCAGCAGUGGGGAAUAUUGGACAAUGGGCGCAAGCCUGAUCCAGCCAUACCGCGUGGGUGAAGAAGGCCUUCGGGUUGUAAAGCCCUUUUGUUGGGAAAGAAAAGCAGCAGGUUAAUACCCCGCUGUUCUGACGGUACCCAAAGAAUAAGCACCGGCUAACUUCGUG